AUUGGCAUCAAGAUUGUCCUCUAAUAGGCCUUGUCCUCUGGGGAAAGCAUGGUCUGCCCAUUCAAGUGUGAGCAAGAGUUGUUCAACAUCCUUAAUCAUCAGAGAAAUGCAAAUCAAAACAACCCUGAGAUUCCAUCUCACACCAGUCAGAAUGGCUAAGAUCAAAAAUUCAGGUGACAGCAGAUGCUGGCGAGGAUGUGGAAAAAGAGGAAAACUCCUCCAUUGUUGGUGGGAUUGCAAGCUUUUACAACCACUCUGGAAAUCAGUCUUGUGGUUCCUCAGAAAAUUGGACAUAGUACUACCGGAGGAUCCCACAAUACCUCUCCUGGGCAUAUAUCCAGAAGAUGUCCCAACAGGAGCUUAGAGCAAAAGCUUCUAAAAUCAAGAAGAAGAAAAAGCUUUUUCAGAGUCAUUCCAGGAUCCCAUGGAGUUGUGACUAGAUAAGACACUUGGCUGCUCUGAGACGAAAAUGUCUUACGGAUUGGCAGAUAAGGAAGAGCUCUGACUGCCUGUCCCUAGUCAUGGAAGGGAGUGAUAAGCAGACAUAGAAGUAAGGACCUGCAAGAGGAACACACCUUCACACUCCUAUAAGUGAAUUUAUCAGAUAAAAGCAAGAGAUUCAGCAUCACUAAGAGCAAAAAUGUGUGAAAGACUAUGAAAAGGAAUAAAGUGGGAGCUUGCAUCUUUAGUGUCCAAAGUACAAGCCCUGUUGCCUGGAAUUCUUCAUUAUACAAACCUUUAUUCAAUGAGCGUCUGCUGACAGGGUUGGACAACACAAAGUCAAUCCCCAGGAGUCACGUGACAGAAAGAACCAACUCUUGCAAGUUGACCUCUGACUUCCAUAUAGUGGCCGUGCCAUGUGCAUCCCUACCAGAGCCACAGUAUCCACUUCUUUGCAUGUGAGCCAGCAACCCACGUGACUUACAUCUCUACAGGGAAAAACACCUAUACCACUUAAUUCUCAAGGUUGUUGAGAAGUACCUCCCCUAUAUUCAUCAAUAUGGGAGACUAUAAGAAGAAUGGUUGUUUUAUUAUAUAUUUGAAUAUUUCCAUAUGAAAUUGUGAAUACUACUUAAUGACAGGUUGUCUCUUCACUGGAAUGAUGAUGCUCUUUGUUACACAGAGCUUUUUAGUUUCAUGAGGUCCCAUUUAUUUUUGUGUGAGGGUACAGUAUUUCAAUGAAGGUGAUGUGAUCACUCCUGUUUGGAAGCUGAAUCAAUGAAAACACAAGUGCCUGUAAUAGAAUAUCAUUGCCUUCAACUACUGACUAAAACCUUUGGGGGGUUUUGAUUUGAGCUCAGACCUUACAGCAUUCUAUUAUUUAUGUGAAAGAAAUUUACAAUCCUUGUUCUGACAAACUAGUCCACCCAGAGAACAAGACAGGAUCUGUCAUGUUUGCCAAUCAAUGCUGGUGGUGUAAAUCACACCUGCUGAUGUCAAGCAUAAACAUCUGCUUCUAGAACUUUCCCCCACUUUCCAUCAGCUCUCACUGGCCUUAUUUUUUAAAUAAAUCUACAUGUCUUUCAA